rnacentral:lncRNA from 1 species
CGAGGGCUUCUUUGGCUAAUUUCUGGCCUAUUUAUUAGUGGAAUUUGAUUGGCAACCGUUCAGUGGAAUGGAAAAGGUCGGAGAAGAAGGGUUGGAGCUAACCUUAGGCUCUGGUGGCAUCUAUAGGUCAAUAUUUUAGAGGGUGCAAUGACAAGAUACUGCGAACUCAAAAGGAGAAAAGAGAGAGAAAGAAGAAGAAAGCGG